rnacentral:misc_RNA from 1 species
AAAAAUUAUGUAAUGCUUACAAGAGCUUACAAUAGUGAAGCAUGGAAUUUACUUCCAACAUCAGUUCAAUAAACAGACAAAGCAUUUCAGAAACAGCUAAAAUUCCAAGGGAUUCCAUUUAAAUUCAACAAGUUGGCAUUUGAGGCUUAAUCCCAUAUACAACAAUAACACUCCAUUCUGUGAGGCAGCCCACAAGCAUAGAUGUGGAAGUGAAGAUAAUGUCCUU